CGGGGUGUAGCGCAGUUGGUAGCGCGCCUGCUUUGGGAGCAGGAUGCCGGGGGUUCGAGUCCCUUCACUCCGACCA
rnacentral:tRNA from 3 species